rnacentral:tRNA from 1 species
GGGCCCGUAGCUCAGCCAGGUAGAGUACCGGACUUUUAACUUUCUACAAAAGAAAGAAAUCCGGUUGUCUCGGGUUCGAAUCCCGACGGGCCCG